GAUGAAGACUUUUGUGACUGAGCGGCGGACGGGUGAGUAACGCGUGGGUAACCUGCCUCAUACAGGGGGAUAACAGUUAGAAAUGACUACUAAUACCGCAUAAGACCACAGGGUCGCAUGACCCGGUGGUAAAAACUCCGGUGGUAUGAGAUGGACCCGCGUCUGAUUAGCUAGUUGGUGGGGUAACGGCUCACCAAGGCGACGAUCAGUAGCCGACCUGAGAGGGUGACCGGCCACAUUGGGACUGAGACACGGCCCAAACUCCUACGGGAGGCAGCAGUGGGGAAUAUUGCACAAUGGGGGAAACCCUGAUGCAGCGACGCCGCGUGAAGGAUGAAGUAUUUCGGUAUGUAAACUUCUAUCAGCAGGGAAGAAAAUGACGGUACCUGACUAAGAAGCCCCGGCUAACUACGUGCCAGCAGCCGCGGUAAUACGUAGGGGGCAAGCGUUAUCCGGAUUUACUGGGUGUAAAGGGAGCGUAGACGGCAUGGCAAGUCUGAAGUGAAAGCCCGGGGCUCAACCCCGGGACUGCUUUGGAAACUGUCAGGCUAGAGUGCUGGAGAGGUAAGUGGAAUUCCUAGUGUAGCGGUGAAAUGCGUAGAUAUUAGGAGGACACCAGUGGCGAAGGCGGCUUACUG
rnacentral:rRNA from 1 species